AACCGUAGAAAUUGAUCGAAACUGAAUUAUUCCCAGUUUGUCGACACUGGAAUAUUCCCACUUAACCGACAUCCCAAAUAACCGACGUCGCAAAUGAUCGACACCACAAAUUGUCGACAUCCCAUAUUGUCGACAAUGAAAUAGUUUCAUUUUGUCGACACUGAAAUAGUCCCAGUAUAUCGACAAGCACCCGUUCUUCGGAGCUACUCUUGAAAAGGAGUUGUUCUAAUUCAUCGUUCAGUUCCUCAACUCACGAGUCGCAAUAUUUGAUUCCGAAUUCCGAUUUCCGACGGACAUUUCUACAUUUUAUUGACUAAGAACUUUUAUGUUGUAAAUAUUUAUCUUGUUUAUUUCUUUCCUUGUUUACAAGAAAAUAGAUGACUCGAGUGUUACAAACUAUAGUUUUUAAGGAAUAAUGUGAAAUAAGUUAAUUUUUAUAGGAUAAAAAACUUAAUCAACAUGAUAACUUAAUAACAUUAGUCCUACCAGACACUAACUUAGUUUUAUAGAUGAUCCUGGAGCAAAGGCUGUAAUUUAACCUGAACCCAAAUUGGUCUCUGUUUUAAAUAUUGUCUUGAACCAAUAAGUUAAGAGGACUAACUGUUCUGGACGACAUUGCCAUCGAUAUCACUGCAGAUGAGAGAGAAAGAGAGACCAGAGUUGUGUACCCUGGAGGCAAUUACCAUACUGCUGUGAUAAUGUUCCUUGGUCUAACCAUAACUUAAGUGAGAGCUGAAGCCUACCAGUAAAAUGGGGGUGUUGUAAUUAAUAUCCUCCGACACUGGAGGAUACAGGGGAGAGGUGUCAGAGGAAGAGGAGAUGGAGGAUGGGGCCAGUAAGACUAAGAUUGAAGAAAACUAACUUAUGGCCUGAUGACAGGGUGGAUGGCAAUGGAGGCAUGGAGGUUGGGGGAGAGAAGGCUGAAGAAGUGAAGACAAAUCAGUUUAGAUUCAUUAUAAUGAUUAGUUUAAUAUUUAUUUUGAAUACCAGUAUACUUUUAUUUAAAUUUUUUCUCAUUUAGAUUAUUUAAUUAAGAAAAUUUUAUUAUUUUUAUAAAGAUGUUUUCUUAAAUUUUUAAUAUUUGUUUGUACUUCUGCCUGGUAAAAAACAAAACUGUUUAUUAUGUUUGUUAAAAUGAUUAGCCUACUUCCACUAAUGGACCUUGUCUUGGGUGAAAAGAGAUAUCUUGAUAUUUAACUAGCAGGGUGCCUGUUCUAUCUAUGGGCGGGGAUCGUAUAAGUCAGUUGAAUUGAAACCUUCUUAUAUUUCGAUAUUUGGUAAAUUAAUCAUUUCCAACUUUAUAUAGUAUAGAUCGCUAUUUCUGUAUUGAUGUACUGAAAUGAAUAAAAUUAUAUGAAAUUAAA